UGCAAAUGAUGUUUUCUCACGAUGGUCUUCAGACACCACCAUGGUGAUAUUGCCAAAUGGCACACGCUGAUGCAGUAUU